rnacentral:rRNA from 1 species
AUUGAACGCUGGCGGCAUGCCUAACACAUGCAAGUCGAACGGGGCAGCAAUGCCUAGUGGCGGACGGGUGAGGAAUACGUAGGAAUCUGCCCUUAAGUGGGGGAUAACCAGGGGAAACCCUGACUAAUACCGCAUGAUCUCUUCGGAGCAAAGAGGGGGACCGCAAGGCCUCUCGCUUCUGGAUGAGCCUACGUCUGAUUAGCUAGUUGGUAGGGUAAAGGCCUACCAAGGCGACGAUCAGUAACUGGUCUGAGAGGAUGAUCAGUCACACCGGAACUGAGACACGAUCCGGACUCCUACGGGAGGAAGCAGUGGGGAAUAUUGGACAAUGGGCGCAAGCCUGAUCCAGCAAUGCCGCGUGUGUGAAGAAGGCCUUCGGGUUGUAAAGCACUUUAGCCUGGAAAGAAAAAACUUUGGUUAACACCCAAAGUCUUGACGGUACCAGGAGAAUAAGCACCGGCUAACUCUGUGCCAGCCGCCGCGGUAAAAC